GAUGAAGAACGUAGCGAAAUGCGAUAAGUAGUGUGAAUUGCAGAAUUCAGUGAAUCAUCGAAUCUUUGAACGCACAUUGCGCCCCUUGGUAUCCCGAGGGGCAUGCCUGUUCGAGCGUCAUUUCACCACUCAAGCCUGGCUUGGUGUUGGGCGACGUCCCCUUUGGGGACGCGCCUCGAAACGCUCGGCGGCGUGGCACCGGCUUUAAGCUUAGCAGAAUCUUUCGCUUUGGAAGUCGGGGCCCCGUCUGCCGGAAGACCUACUCGCAAGGUUGACCUCGGAUCAGGCAGGGAUACCCGCUGAACUUAAGCAUAUCAAUAAGCGGAGGA
rnacentral:misc_RNA from 1 species